rnacentral:rRNA from 1 species
GAUGAACGCUGGCGGCGUGCCUAAUACAUGCAAGUCGAGCGAACGGACGAGAAGCUUGCUUCUCUGAUGUUAGCGGCGGACGGGUGAGUAACACGUGGAUAACCUACCUAUAAGACUGGGAUAACUUCGGGAAACCGGAGCUAAUACCGGAUAAUAUUUUGAACCGCAUGGUUCAAAAGUGAAAGACGGUCUUGCUGUCACUUAUAGAUGGAUCCGCGCUGCAUUAGCUAGUUGGUAAGGUAACGGCUUACCAAGGCAACGAUGCAUAGCCGACCUGAGAGGGGUAGGCGCCCAGCGUGAACCGGAGCCCCGGCCCGGGCUCCAGGGGGAGGAGGAAGUGGGGAAGCUCGGGCAAGGGGAGAAGACAAGAGGGCGCAAGGCCGCGGGAGGGAUAAGGGUCUUAGAAUCGUAAAACUGGUUUAUUGGGAAAAAAAAUAUGUGUAAGUAACUGUACACUUCUGGAGGGUACCAAAUAAAAAAGCCCCGGCUAACUACGUG